CUUGUCGGGUAAGUUCCGACCUGCACGAAUGGCGUAAUGAUGGCCAGGCUGUCUCCACCCGAGACUCAGUGAAAUUGAACUCGCUGUGAAGAUGCAGUGUACCCGCGGCAAGACGGAAAGACCCCGUGAACCUUUACUACAGCUUGACACUGAACAUUGAGCCUUGAUGUGUAGGAUAGGUGGGAGGCUUUGAAGCGUGGACGCCAGUCUGCGUGGAGCCAACCUUGAAAUACCACCCUUUAAUGUUUGAUGUUCUAACCUGGCGCCGUGAUCCGGCGUGGGGACAGUGUCUGGUGGGUAGUUUGACUGGGGCGGUCUCCUCCCAAAGUGUAACGGAGGAGCACGAAGGUCAGCUAAUCCUGGUCGGACAUCAGGAGGUUAGUGCAAUGGCAUAAGCUGGCUUGACUGCGAGAGUGACGGCUCGAGCAGGUGCGAAAGCAGGUCAUAGUGAUCCGGUGGUUCUGUAUGGAAGGGCCAUCGCUCAACGGAUAAAAGGUACUCCGGGGAUAACAGGCUGAUACCGCCCAAGAGUUCAUAUCGACGGCGGUGUUUGGCACCUCGAUGUCGGCUCAUCACAUCCUGGGGCUGAAGUAGGUCCCAAGGGUAUGGCUGUUCGCCAUUUAAAGUGGUACGCGAGCUGGGUUUAGAACGUCGUGAGACAGUUCGGUCCCUAUCUGCCGUGGGCGCUGGAGAAUUGAGGGGGGCUGCUCCCAGUACGAGAGGACCGGAGUGGACGCAUCACUGGUGUUCGGGUUGUCAUGCCAAUGGCACUGCCCGGUAGCUAAAUGCGGAAGAGAUAAGUGCUGAAAGCAUCUAAGCACGAAACUUGCCCCGAGAUGAGUUCUCCCUGAGACUUUAAGUCUCCUGAAGGAACGUUGAAGACGACGACGUUGAUAGGCCGGGUGUGUAAGCGCAGCGAUGCGUUGAGCUAACCGGUACUAAUGAACCGUGAGGCUUAACCUUACAACGCCAAAGAAGU
rnacentral:rRNA from 1 species